GGGGGUGACUGGAUUCGACAAGGUAUGUUUGAGGUGGGCAGCAAGCCGUGGUCUCCUCGCCACGUUAAACAGGGGUACUGUCAAAUUUAAUUGACAACGUUAUUCCUUUCAAGAGCAGCCAAAAGCUCGCUCUUGCUGCUUAAUUUAUACAAGCAGCCAUCUUUCUUGUGCGUAUCUCCGGCAUGAGAUUAGGUGUCAUUUUAGGAGGUUGCUGCACAAAGAAUGCCUGCGGAUUUGUGCAUAAGACUAUGCGGGAUAGGAUAGAACAAAUUUGUUGCGAGAUAUGUUGUAUCCAAAUGCUAAUUCGUAACUAAGCUUGAAGACACCUGCCAGGAAUGUACGUUGGACCGGAGUUCGAUUCUCCGCACCUCCACCA
rfam:Atopobium vaginae PB189-T1-4 contig00013, whole genome shotgun sequence.